AAUACAUGAAAUAAAAAGACAUUUAAACCCUCCAAGCAAUUCAAAAUGUCAUUUUGGGAAAAGGUUGACAUUUCCAUUUGAUUGAACACCUGCAGUAUGUUAAGUGAAAAGCUCUUUGUUCCUGAACUAUGUUACCUUAAAAUGUCUUCAAAUGCCAUUAUGACAUCUCAGGUGUCACCUUGUUGGCUAAAUGACAGUAUGUAUGACCCUACUGUCUGAACACAAAUGCUAUAUCAAAUUAUUAUAAACUGGGUGGUUCGGGCCCUAACACGGGUAUGUCAAAACACUUAUUGUUACUGCUCUAAUUACGUUGGUAUCCAGUUUAUAAUAGCAAUAAGGCACCUCAGGGGGUUGUGAUAUAUGGCCAAUAUACCACGGCUAAGGGCUGUGUCCAGGUACUCCAAGUUGUGUGGCAUAUUGAACAUAUACCACACACCCUCGGGCCUUAUUGCUUAAUUAUACAAUUAUAUACAGUUAUACAAAAACUCUGUAUUGGAUGACCAUGUUUGUAUGAAGGGUUUUAUGUUAUCCAAAAUGGUAGGAUGCCUAUCAACAAACUACUAUCACCCCCACGCAGGGUAAUGAUAGGGGAACAUAUCUCAGAGGAGUUCUGAGUGUCUCAGGUCCAUUGUAGGGUGAGAGAAAGAGAUCACAACAAAAGAAGCAAACAAAAGGAAAGAAAAAGAGAGAAUCAGAUCCAAGAUGGCUGACGUUUUUGAAGCCCUUCACUUUGAAGGUCACUUGAAUUAGACUGGCUAGGUUCUACGACCUUGUAAUCAGCUUCAGAGAAACCGACAUGAAGAACUCGGAACACCUAUUUCAGAAUCGCACCAUGCAAGCAUUCACUUGGCACAAGUUUUUACGUGUGAACAAACAUUUAUAUAAUGGCCAUCAAAGUUAAAGGUAACUGUCUGGGGAAAAACAUGGGAAAGUGGCUUAUCCCAAAACCCCAUGAAAAGGUUCAAAGGUAAUUAAUAAAUAAAACAACAUUAAACAACAUGUAAAAACAUUUUGUUUUUUAAAUGGGAACGAAUCCUACCCCAAAAACCGCUAUGACAAAUUAGGGGAAGCUAAACAUAGAACUCCACAGAAGAGAUCAGAAGAUAAGAUUUGUGUUCUCUUCCUUGUCCAUGAACUUCAAGGUAGACUAUUCAGGCCUCAAUUAUUGCAUACAAGAAAUCAAGUUCUGUACAAUUUAUAUCCUCUAUCAAUAAAGUUUUCUUCCCCAUGGCAAAUAUCCAUUCUCUCUCUCUUAAAAAUGGCCAAGUUGUGAAAGGCUGCACCAAACAAUAGAGAAUAUUAUAAAGACCCAUAGUUGUAAAAUAAGGUUUUGUUCUUAACUGACUUGCCCAAUUAAAUAAAGGAUGAAUAAAUAGCUCUGCAGAACGCCAGCCCUCUCAUAGCCAUCUGUUAGUGAGGAUUCAUUCUCCUUGGCAGAUUAGGCAACACACCUUUGUUAACACAUCUGGAAUGCUCUGAAUACUUCGAAAUCUCCACUUUACAUUGACAUUGUAGUCAUUUAGCAGACGCUCUUUGUCACGCCUUGGUCUUAGUAUUUUGUGUUUUCUUUAUUAUUUGGUCAGGCCAGGGUGUGACAUGGGUUUAUGUUGUUGUAUUUCGUAUUGGGGUUUUUGUAUUAUUGGGAUUACGGCUGAGUUGGGGUGUUGCAUAGGCUUGGCUGCCUGAGGCAGUUCUCAAUCAGAGUCAGGUGAUUCUCGUUGUCUCUGAUUGGGAACCGUAUUUAGGUAGCCUGGGUUUCGCUGUGUAUUUCGUGGGUGAUUGUUCCUGUCUCUGUGUAGUUUCACCAGAUAGGCUGUAAUAGGUUUCACGUUCCGUUUGUUGUUUUUGUAUUUUGUAUAUUACGUUAUUUUCAUGUAUCGUCAUUUCAGUCAUUAAAGAACACGAGUAACAAUCACGCUGCAUUUCGGUCCGACUCUCUUUCGACAAACGAAGAACGACGUUACACUCUUAUCCAGAGCGACUCACAGUUAGUGCUUUCAUCUCAAGAUAUCGAGGUGGGACAACCACUUAUCUCAGUCAUAGUAAGUACAUUAUUCCUCGUUAAAGUAGCUAUCAGCAGAUGUAGUGCUUGCUGGUAGGGGGGAAAACGGAAAAAGUCAAGUGUGAGAGUUAGUGUUAGGGAAGAGGGAGGGGGAGGGGGGGUGUUGUGGGAUUAUUUAAGAUACUCUUUGAAGAGGUUGGGUUUCAGAUGUUUUCGGAAGAUGGGCAGGGGCUCUGCUGUUCUAGCUUCCGGUGGAAGUUGGUUCCCCCAUUGGGGUGGCAGGACAGAGAAGAGCUUUGAUUGGGCUGAGCGGGAGCUCGUAGGUGUGGGACGGGUAAGAUAACAGAGGUGGUAGAACAGAGGAACUGGGUUGGGGUGGAGGAUUGGAGCAGAGAACAGAGGUGGUAGAACAGAGGAACUGGGUUGGGGUGGAGGAUUGGAGCAGAGAACAGAGGUGGUAGAACAGAGGAACUGGGUUGGGGUGGAGGAUUGGAGCAGAGAACAGAGGUGGUAGAACAGAGGAACUGGGUUGGGGUGGAGGAUUGGAGCAGAGAACAGAGGUGGUAGAACAGAGGAACUGGGUUGGGGUGGAGGAUUGGAGCAGAGAACAGAGGUGGUAGAACAGAGGAACUGGGUUGGGGUGGAGGAUUGGAGCAGAGAACAGAGGUGGUAGAACAGAGGAACUGGGUUGGGGUGGAGGAUUGGAGCAGAGAACAGAGGUGGUAGAACAGAGGAACUGGGUUGGGGUGGAGGAUUGGAGCAGAGAACAGAGGUGGUAGAACAGAGGAACUGGGUUGGGGUGGAGGAUUGGAGCAGAGAACAGAGGUGGUAGAACAGAGGAACUGGGUUGGGGUGGAGGAUUGGAGCAGAGAACAGAGGUGGUAGAACAGAGGAACUGGUUUGGGGUGGAGGAUUGGAGCAGAGAACAGAGGUGGUAGAACAGAGGAACUGGGUUGGGGUGGAGGAUUGGAGCAGAGAACAGAGGUGGUAGAACAGAGGAACUGGGUUGGGGUGGAGGAUUGGAGCAGAGAACAGAGGUGGUAGAACAGAGGAACUGGGUUGGGGUGGAGGAUUGGAGCAGAGAACAGAGGUGGUAGAACAGAGGAACUGGGUUGGGGUGGAGGAUUGGAGCAGAGAACAGAGGUGGUAGAACAGAGGAACUGGGUUGGGGUGGAGGAUUGGAGCAGAGAACAGAGGUGGUAGAACAGAGGAACUGGGUUGGGGUGGAGGAUUGGAGCAGAGAACAGAGGUGGUAGAACAGAGGAACUGGGUUGGGGUGGAGGAUUGGAGCAGAGAACAGAGGUGGUAGAACAGAGGAACUGGGUUGGGGUGGAGGAUUGGAGCAGAGAACAGAGGUGGUAGAACAGAGGAACUGGGUUGGGGUGGAGGAUUGGAGCAGAGAACAGAGGUGGUAGAACAGAGGAACUGGGUUGGG